GGUUUCCUGGUGUAAUGGUUAGCACUGUGGAUUUUGAUAAUCUUUGAAUGAAUGAAGACUUACAAUUCCACCAAUCUGGGUUCGAUUCCCGGGGAGACCU